rnacentral:rRNA from 1 species
UACAGAGGUCUCAAGCGUUGUUCGGAUUCAUUGGGCGUAAAGGGUGCGUAGGCGGCGCGGUAAGUCGGGUGUGAAAUCUUGGAGCUUAACUCCGAAACUGCAUUCGAUACUGCCGUGCUUGAGGACUGGAGAGGAGACUGGAAUUUACGGUGUAGCGGUGAAAUGCGUAGAUAUCGUAAGGAAGACCAGUGGCGAAGGCGGGUCUCUGGACAGUUCCUGACGCUGAGGCACGAAGGUGAGGGGAGCAAACGGG